UUCAAGCUCCCACUUUUAAGUAUUUUACUUUUUUAAGGGAUUAUAACAUGGAUGACGACAUGGGUGAACAGCCUCAAGUCAACUUUGAAAGCGCUCCGUCACCACGAGCAGUUUACAUUAUGAUGUGUCGCUGUGCUAUGUUCGAAAGGAUUGGGAUCAAUAUGUACUCGUGGCCAAAUGGUGUUCGAGAGAUGGCGAAAAAGGAUUUGCUAGCAGCAUUAAAGAACGAUAAUAUGCUGCCGCAUGUUUAUGUUAAAGAGUUUUAUACACUGAAGCACUUCUAGUCAUAUUCGAAAAGGCUACCAACAUGCAAUAUGAAGUGGCUGAGAAAAUACCAUUUGGUUCCAUACGGAGGAAUGUUAUAUCAUCAUAAACGGCUCGGACAGAGCAAGUGACAGAAAAAAAGGUUCUCUACACAUAGGAAGUAAAGAAAUAAUACAGAUCACACUAAAGUUCACAAUCUGGAUGUGUUUCCUUUGUUAUUUGAACAUGAUUUAUUAUAGCUUACAUUUGCGAUACAAUGUCUAUAUUAAAAAUAAUGAUAUUCCAUUAAACACAGAUAUGGAAAAAAUAUUCUUUGACAGUGCAAAAAAAAUCCAGACAUAGUAGACUUGGGUCUUUACAAAAUAAAGGCCUACUAUUGCCCUAUAUGUUAGAGUCUUUAGUUAACUUGGAUGUGUUCUAUUUGUUUCAUCUUGUAAUCAUUUUUGGAGGUUAAGUGGCGAGAAAUCAACCUUUUUCACAACAUUUUCUUAUUUGUGGAAAGUAUGUACUUAUGUCGACACUAUCUGUACCUUUAUUCUCCUCAUUUUUCUGUACGAACCAAGAUCAAAUGUGUCAUUUUAGUUUAACUGUUUUAAACUGUAUUUAUUUUACUUGUUGCAGAUUCUAGAAACAGACUAUACUUUAUAUAUUUAUCUCUUUGCAUGCUGAGUAUUCCUGGUCAGUAUGUUGGUGUACAUUGCUUAGCGUAGUUCAUAAUAAAUAGUAAGAGCACACUUGUGUUUCUUAUAUAUUAUAUCACAUUAGUGAACAGUGAACGCACACACAACAACAAGGAAAACAAAACAUGGUGUCAGAAGUUAUUUGUGGAUUAACUAAAUUUUGAUUUGAACAGUUUUACAUUAGUAAACAUGGAAUUGAGUGGAAUUCAAGCACCACGCAUGGAAUGGGACUCGACAAAUCUGCCAGAGGCAUUCGAAAAGUUUGAGCGUCACGCGAAGCUGAUGUUCUCUGGACCAUUGAAGGCAAAACAGAAGAAGAGCAAGUGUCAUAUUUCAUGUUGUGGGUAGGCGACAGAGGAAGAGAUAUUCACUGUAUGUGGAAAGACAUUUCGGAAGAUGAUGCAAAAAAAGCUCAGUACAUUUUAUGAAAGAUUCAGAGCAUAUGUACAACCAAAACUCAAUCCUAUUUUUGCACGUUAUAAGUUCUUUAAUCAAACGCAAGAGAAUGACACAAUUGACGCAUUCAUCACUCGCUUGAGGAUGUGCGCAAGGGAUUGUAAUUUUACAAAUACAGACGAGAUGAUUAGAGACAGAAAAGUGUCGCCGAUUUUCCUUUCUCGGGAUUGUACGUGUUUCCUUUUUAUUAAUUACUUAAUCAAUCGCUGCUGCCACCAUCCAAGAUAAUACUUGGAACAAUAAUGAAGAAUAUUAUAAGUACCACCAUGACCGAGAGUGUAAGAUAGCUUACAUUACA